UGCAAGAGGCAAGAGGCAUGUUCCGGAAGCUAAGAAAAUAGCAAAGGUGUUGAUCCUGACAGAGCUGAGCUACUGAACGUCAGAACAGCUUUUUAGGUUGAAAAAUUCACAUUGUCAUUUCAGCUGGGAGAGAGAGCAACACUAUUUGCCUCCCAACACUGCAUUUACCUUCAGCAGCCAGCUCAGAUGGAGGGAAAGGAAGUCGAAGAUUUCGAAGCAACCCUUUGGCAGUCAGUCGUACGUGAAUGGUGGAUAAGGA